rnacentral:rRNA from 1 species
GUGGGGAAUAUUGGACAAUGGCCGAGAGGCUGAUCCAGCCAUGCCGCGUGCGGGAGGACGGCCCUAUGGGUUGUAAACCGCUUUUGUCAGGGGGCAAUAAGGUCUACGUGUAGACUGAUGAGAGUACCUGGCGAAUAAGCAUCGGCUAACUCCGUGCCAGCAGCCGCGGUAAUACGGAGGAUGCAAGCGUUAUCCGGAUUUAUUGGGUUUAAAGGGUGCGUAGGCGGAAGCUUAAGCGUGAGGUGAAAUGCCACUGCUCAACAGUGGAACUGCCUCGCGAACUGGGUUUCUGGAAUGCCCCUGCCGUGGGAGGAAUGUGUGGUGUAGCGGUGAAAUGCAUAGAGAUCACACAGAACACCGAUUGCGAAGGCAUCUCACGAAGGGGUGAUUGACGCUGAGGCACGAAAGCGUGGGGAUCAAACAGG